rnacentral:lncRNA from 1 species
AGGACUAGAGUUCAGAUCCACACUCAGAAUGUCAGGAGGUGUGUGGCCUGCUUCAGAAGGUGGAGAUGGGGUCCCUGGGCAAGCCGGCCAGCAAGAGUAGACAUAUCUGAGCUCUGGGUUGAGAGAUCCUGCCUCAAGGAGAACGUAAAGGUGAAGAUUCUCAACAUUAACCCAGGAAAGCCAUGUUGGGCACGGGGGCACACAUGCUGGUGUGUCCACACACAGGCACACAUGCACAGCACACACACAUACACACAUGCACAUUAUACACUCAUGCACACAUGCACAGCACACACACACAUACACACAUGCACAGCACACACUCAUACACACAUGCACAGCACACACACAUGCACAGCAUACAUACAUGAAAAUGGAAAAAGAACCCUUUUUUUAUAUUUGUUUGCUCUCCC